rnacentral:rRNA from 1 species
AUUGAACGCUGGCGGCAGGCCUAACACAUGCAAGUCGAGCGAGCGGCGGACGGGUGAGUAAUGUCUGGGGAACUGCCCGAUAGAGGGGGAUAACUACUGGAAACGGUAGCUAAUACCGCAUACUAUCGGAUGAACCCAUAUGGGAUUAGCUAGUAGGUGGGGUAAAGGCUCACCUAGGCGACGAUCUCUAGCUGGUCUGAGAGGAUGAUCAGCCACACUGGAACUGAGACACGGCCCAGACUCCUACGGGAGUCAGCAGUGGGGAAUAUUGCACAAUGGGCGCAAGCCUGAUGCAGCCAUGCCGCGUGUAUGAAGAAGGCCUUAGGGUUGUAAAGUACUUUCAGCGGGGAGGCGUUACCCGCAGAAGAAGCACCGGCUAACUCCGUGCCAGCAGCCGCGGUAAUUC